rnacentral:rRNA from 1 species
CUGGCGGCGUGCCUAAUACAUGCAAGUCGAACGCUUCUUUCCUCCCGAGUGCUUGCACUCAAUUGGAAAGAGGAGUGGCGGACGGGUGAGUAACACGUGGGUAACCUACCCAUCAGAGGGGGAUAACACUUGGAAACAGGUGCUAAUACCGCAUAACAGUUUAUGCCGCAUGGCAUAAGAGUGAAAGGCGCUUUCGGGUGUCGCUGAUGGAUGGACCCGCGGUGCAUUAGCUAGUUGGUGAGGUAACGGCUCACCAAGGCCACGAUGCAUAGCCGACCUGAGAGGGUGAUCGGCCACACUGGGACUGAGACACGGCCCAGACUCCUACGGGAGGCAGCAGUAGGGAAUCUUCGGCAAUGGACGAAAGUCUGACCGAGCAACGCCGCGUGAGUGAAGAAGGUUUUCGGAUCGUAAAACUCUGUUGUUAGAGAAGAACAAGGACGUUAGUAACUGAACGUCCCCUGACGGUAUCUAACCAGAAAGCCACGGCU